AGCAGCCGCGGUAAUUCCAGCUCCAAUAGCGUAUAUUAAAGUUGUUGCAGUUAAAAAGCUCGUAGUUGAAUUUCGGGGUUAGUAGGUUGGUCAUGCCUCUGGUAUGUACUGGUCUCACUGAUUCCUCCUUCCUGAUGAAUCUUAAUGCCAUUAAUUUGGUGUUUUGGGGAAUUUGGACUGUUACUUUGAAAAAAUUAGAGUGUUUAAAGCAAGCUAACGCUUGAAUACAUUAGCAUGGAAUAAUGAAAUAGGACGUUCGAUCCUAUUUUGUUGGUUUCUAGGAUUGACGUAAUGAUUAAUAGGGAUAGUUGGGGGCAUUAGUAUUCAAUUGUCAGAGGUGAAAUUCUUGGAUUUAUUGAAGACUAACUACUGCGAAAGCAUUUGCCAAGGAUGUUUUCAUUAAUCAAGAACGAAAGUUAGGGGAUCGAAGACGAUCAGAUACCGUCGUAGUCUUAACCAUAAACUAUGCCGACUAGGGAUCGGAUGAUGUUAAUUUUUUAAUGACUCAUUCGGCGCCUUACG
rnacentral:rRNA from 3 species